CGGAUUGUAGUCUGCAACUCGACUACAUGAAGUUGGAAUCGCUAGUAAUCGCGGAUCAGAAUGCCGCGGUGAAUACGUUCCCGGGUCUUGUACACACCGCCCGUCACACCAUGGGAGUCAGUAACGCCCGAAGCCGGUGACCUAACCGAAAGGGAGGAGCCGUCGAAGGUGGGACCGAUAACUGGGGUGAAGUCGUAACAAGGUAAC
rnacentral:rRNA from 1 species